GUUCAUCGAUACGCGGGAACAGCCUAUGGUAGCAAAAAGCUGUAAUUAUACGCGGAUAUUCAUACAGUGGACUGAAGAACGAGGUGUCACACUCCUGGAAAAUAUCAUGUUGUUUUAUCACUGUUGGUUUCAUAAUAUGACUGAAAAAAUCGCAUUGAAUACAGAUAUAUUGAUACCAGUCUGCAGCUGCAAAAGAUGCUGUUCUGAUUGUGGGGGUUUGUGAAAUGGAAAGAAAGAGAUACAUACAGAGACUGUUUUGAAUCUAAGGAGGAAAAAUGAGCUACCAGAAAACCUUUGAAUUGAUAGGUGCUGAAAGUUUUUAAACUGUUUUAACAAGCACAUUAAAAAAAGUAAAAAAAAAACAAAAAACAA